CUCGUGCUGACCGUGACGGACAAAACAAGCUGACGGAUCUGUUUUUCUGUUUCCUAAAGAGUUGUAGUUUGUUAGGAAACUUAGAGAUAGAGUUGGAUUUCGGCCUCCUUACUCAAGGUGGACGAAAAUAUCUCUCCCUCCUCCUUUAUAUACCCCAUGAGCCCCCCCCUAAGGAGCCUUGGGUUUUGAUUAGAUAAAGUUUAGCCAUCUUUGCUACUUUCGUGUAAUCGCGUGUGUCGGUUAGACCACCUGUUUUACCGUCGUCAAGACUCCAACUUAUCGUCUUGUUGAG
rnacentral:lncRNA from 1 species